GACGAACGCUGGCGGCGUGCUUAACACAUGCAAGUCGAACGGAAAGGCCCUGCUUUUGUGGGGUGCUCGAGUGGCGAACGGGUGAGUAACACGUGGGUAACCUGCCCUUGACUUUGGGAUAACUUCAGGAAACUGGGGCUAAUACCGGAUAGGAGCUCCUGCUGCAUGGUGGGGGUUGGAAAGUUUCGGCGGUUGGGGAUGGACUCGCGGCUUAUCAGCUUGUUGGUGGGGUAGUGGCUUACCAAGGCUUUGACGGGUAGCCGGCCUGAGAGGGUGACCGGCGACAUUGGGACUGAGAUACGGCCCAGACUCCUACGGGAGGCAGCAGUGGGGAAUAUUGCACAAUGGGCGGAAGCCUGAUGCAGCAACGCCGGGUGCGGGAUGACGGCCUUCGGGUUGUAAACCGCUGUCGCCUGUGACGAAGCGUGAGUGACGGUAAUGGGUAAAGAAGCACCGGCUAACUACGUG
rnacentral:rRNA from 1 species